rnacentral:rRNA from 1 species
GCUGUACCUAGCCCUGACACACACACACACAACGCAACUAUUAAUUCGCCAUAAAAUAAAUCAUUUGACAAAAACAAGUAUUGGAGAAAGAAAGUUUAACCAGGAGCUAUAGAAAAAGUACCGCAAGGGAAAGAUGAAAGAUUUAUUAAAAGCAAAAAUAAGCAAAGAUUAAACCUUGUACCUUUUGCAUAAUGAGUUAACUAGAAAAAAUCUAGCAAAGAGGCCUUGAGCUAGAUACCCCGAAACCAAACGAGCUACCUAUGAGCAGUACAAAGAACUAACCCGUCUAUGUAGCAAAAUAGUGGGACGACUUGUAGGUAGAGGUGAAAAGCCUACCGAGCUUGGUGAUAGCUGGUUACCCAAAAAAGAAUUUCAGUUCAACUUUAAGAUUACCAUAAGAAGUUAAAAUCAAAAUGUAAUCUUAAAUUUUAGCCUCAAGAGGGACAGCUCUUCAGGAACGGAAACAACCUUUUAUAGUGAAUAAAUUUUUUUACCCGCACAAACCAUUGUUGGCCUAAAAGCAGCCACCAAUAAAGAAAGCGUUAAAGCUCAACAUCAUAACACCAAAAAUACCAUAAACAACAAUGACUUCCUAUAAAUACUAAUUGGGUCAAUCUAUAUCCAUAUAGAUGAGAUACUGUUAACAUGAGUAACAAGAACAUAGUUCUCCAAGCACAAGCCUAUAACAACACGGAUGACCAUUGUUAGUUAACACCCCGGGUGAACAUGCCACUAAUAAAACGCACCUACACUUAAAUUGUUAGUCCAACACAGGCGUGCUAUAAGGAAAGAUUAAAAGAAGUAAAAGGAACUCGGCAAACAAGAAUCCCGCCUGUUUACCAAAAACAUCACCUCUAGCAUAAAAAGUAUUAGAGGCACUGCCUGCCCGGUGACUUACGUUAAACGGCCGCGGUAUCCUGACCGUGCAAAGGUAGCAUAAUCACUUGUUCUUUAAUUGGGGACUGGAAUGAAUGGCCACACGAGGAUUCAACUGUCUCUUACUUCCAAUCAGUGAAAUUGACCUUCCCGUGAAGAGGCGGGAAUACCAUAAUAAGACGAGAAGACCCUAUGGAGCUUUAAUUUAUUGGCCUACCUUUUCAAACAAUCCCCCUACUGGACUAAACAAUAAGAUAUAGGUCAACAAUUUCGGUUGGGGUGACCUCGGAGAAUAAACAAACCUCCGAAUGAUUUUUUAGCCAAGACUCACAAGUUGAAGCGACCAAAUCUAAUUGACCCAAUUUUUUUGAUCAACGGACCAAGUUACCCUAGGGAUAACAGCGCAAUCCUAUUCGAGAGUUCAUAUCGACAAUUAGGGUUUACGACCUCGAUGUUGGAUCAGGACAUCCCAAUGGUGUAGAAGCUAUUAAUGGUUCGUUUGUUCAACGAUUAAAGUCCUACGUGAUCUGAGUUCAGACCGGAGUAAUCCAGGUCGGUUUCUAUCUAUUAACUAUUUCUCCCAGUACGAAAGGACAAGAGAAAUGGGGCCUCCUUAACAAAAGUGCCCUUAAACUAAUAUAUGAAAUUAUCUCAAUUUAGUAAGUUUGUUCAACAACACCCUAGACAAGGGUUC